UACGUAGGGUGCAAGCGUUGUCCGGAAUUAUUGGGCGUAAAGAGCUCGUAGGCGGCUUGUCGCGUCGGCUGUGAAACCCUGGGGCUCAACCCCGGGCCUGCAGCCGAUACGGGCGAGCUAGAAUUCGGUAGGGGUGACUGGAAUUCCUGGUGUAGCGGUGAAAUGCGCAGAUAUCAGGAGGAACACCGGUGGCGAAGGCGGGUCUCUGGGCCGAAACUGACGCUGGGGAGCGAAAGCGUGGGGAGCAAACAGG
rnacentral:rRNA from 1 species